rnacentral:tRNA from 1 species
AGCCCCGUAGUGAGCCUYACAUCAAAUUGCAAAUUUGAAACCGCCCCAUUUUUGG